GCCUGGCUGGCUCAGUUGGUGGAGCGCGUGACUCUUGAUUUUGGGGUUGUGGGUUCGAGUGCCAUGUUGGGUG
rnacentral:tRNA from 1 species